GGGCUAAUGUCUUGUAAUUGGAAUGAUGGUGACUUAAACCCUCACCAGAGUAGCAAUUGGAGGGCAAGUCUGGUGCCAGCAGCCGCGGUAAUUCCAGCUCCAAUAGCGUAUAUUAAACUUGUUGCAGUUAAAAAGCUCGUAGUUGUAUUUUUGCUUGGCGGUUUGUUGCCUUUGUGGCUGUAUCCCGCUUGGCUUUUGGCUUUUUGCCUUAUUACUUUGAGAAAAUUAAAGUGUUCCCAGCAGACUUUUGUCGUGAAUACUG
rnacentral:rRNA from 1 species